AUCUCCCUCUCUUUCAAUCUUCCGAUCUCAACCCUCUCUCUCGAUCUCCCUCUCACUCUCCCGAUCUCAACUCUCUCUCUCUCUCGAUCUCCCUCUCCCGGUGCGCUUGGGCUCAGCUUCGUUCCAGUCAAAGGACGUAUGGAUCUGUGGUAGUAUCACUAGGGUAUGAUCAUUCAGUGAGGCUAUGAUCAGAUCAGAUCAGAUUUCUGGGUCCCACAUAUCCAAACUAAGGCGUUGGUGUUUCCUUUUUUUCCUACUCGAGAUACUGAUCAGAUCACCACAGCUAGAGCAUCAACACAUGACCAGGAGUUUUUAGUUUCUUCCCAAAUGGAUGACCAUGAGACCCGAAGUGUGGACAUGGAUCCUGGCCAUUUAAGUCCACAAGAACAGGAUACCAUUAGUGCCAUUGUCAAGGCUAGGUAGUUACUGGAAGCCAUGCUAUGGGAUUUUUGCAGUUUGGAUCUUCUGAACAUUUCUGAUUUUUGCAACAAGGAGAUCAUUGA